rnacentral:rRNA from 1 species
GACGAACGCUGGCGGCGUGCUUAACACAUGCAAGUCGAACGGAAAGGCCCUGCUUUUGUGGGGUGCUCGAGCGGCGAACGGGUGAGUAACACGUGAGUAACCUGCCCUUGACUUUGGGAUAACUUCAGGAAACUGGGGCUAAUACCGGAUAGGAGCUCCUGCUGCAUGGUGGGGGUUGGAAAGUUUCGGCGGUUGGGGAUGGACUCGCGGCUUAUCAGCUUGUUGGUGGGGUAGUGGCUUACCAAGGCUUUGACGGGUAGCCGGCCUGAGAGGGUGACCGGCCACAUUGGGACUGAGAUACGGCCCAGACUCCUACGGGAGGCAGCAGUGGGGAAUAUUGCACAAUGGGCGGAAGCCUGAUGCAGCAACGCCGCGUGCGGGAUGACGGCCUUCGGGUUGUAAACCGCUUUCGCCUGUGACGAAGCGUGAGUGACGGUAAUGGGUAAAGAAGCACCGGCUAACUACGUGCCAGCAGCCGCGGCGAUACGUAGGGUGCGAGCGUUGUCCGGAUUUAUUGGGCGUAAAGGGCUCGUAGGUGGUUGAUCGCGUCGGAGGUGUAAUCCUGGGGCUUAACCCUGAGCGUGCUUUCGAUACGGGUUGACUUGAGGAAGGUAGGGGGGAAUGGAAUUCCUGGUGGAGCGGUGGAAUGCGCAGAUAUCAGGAGGAACACCAGUGGCGAAGGCGGUUCUCUGGGCCUUUCCUGACGCUGAGGAGCGAAAGCGUGGGGAGCGAACAGGCUUAGAUACCCUGGUAGUCCACGCUGUAAACGGUGGGUACUAGGUGUGGGGUCCAUUCCACGGGUUCCGUGCCGUAGCUAACGCUUUAAGUACCCCGCCUGGGGAGUACGGCCGCAAGGCUGAAACUCAAAGGAAUUGACGGGGCCCCGCACAAGCGGCGGAGCAUGCGGAUUAAUUCGAUGCAACGCGUAGAACCUUACCUGGGUUUGACAUGGAUCGGGAGUGCUCAGAGAUGGGUGUGCCUCUUUUGGGGUCGGUUCACAGGUGGUGCAUGCCUGUCGUCAGCUCGUGUCGUGAGAUGUUGGGUUAAGUCCCGCAACGAGCGCAACCCUUGUUCACUGUUGCCAGCACGUUAUGGUGGGGACUCAGUGGAGACCGCCGGGGUCAACUCGGAGGAAGGUGGGGAUGACGUCAAGUCAUCAUGCCCCUUAUGUCCAGGGCUUCACGCAUGCUACAAUGGCUGGUACAGAGAGUGGCGAGCCUGUGAGGGUGAGCGAAUCUCGGAAAGCCGGUCUCAGUUCGGAUUGGGGUCUGCAACUCGACCUCAUGAAGUCGGAGUCGCUAGUAAUCGCAGAUCAGCAACGCUGCGGUGAAUACGUUCCCGGAGCU